rnacentral:rRNA from 1 species
UGGCGGACGGGUGAGUAAUGUCUGGGAAACUGCCCGAUGGAGGGGGAUAACUACUGGAAACGGUAGCUAGUACCGCAUAACGUCGCAAGACCAAAGAGGGGGACCUUCGGGCCUCUUGCCAUCGGAUGUGCCCAGAUGGGAUUAGCUAGUAGGUGGGGUAACGGCUCACCUAGGCGACGAUCCCUAGCUGGUCUGAGAGGAUGACCAGCCACACUGGAACUGAGACACGGUCCAG